rnacentral:lncRNA from 1 species
AUCUUGAAAAGAUUUUCAAUAUUGAAAGUGACAAAGAAUUGUGUUCAAAAGAAAAUAACUCAGAUUCGCCACCUAACAUUUGAUUUCGUUAAUAAUUUUCCUUUCGAACCACUUUAAACUCUAAAACUAAGUCUACACCAGAUAUUUGGGUAAGAGGGUCCAUUUGAAGUAGGGAGAAGGUGUUAGGUACUCCCCAAGUCCUGUAACUAGUACGGUUGCGUACACGAUCAAGCUGGUUUUAAAGAAUAUUCAGAUUAAGGUAAAAAACACAAAAAGAAACAAGUGAUCAAAAGAGGCUCGAGGUCAUCUCUACCUAAUAAAAUAAAAAUAAAAGUAAAAAAUAAAAAUACUAUUCUAUGCUUCCUCAAAGUGUUCCAUCACUGGCCUUCAAGUACAAAUACUUCGGGACAUACCCCAGAUAAAAAUUUAUACAAAUUUCUCGGGGCAUUCCCCAGAUAUAUUCAACUAAACGAACAACCUCGCACCACGAAGCCAACAAAAAUUCUAAGCCUUGCAUACCCAAAUGAUAACGACCUAAGUGUAUUCCUAGCGACUAAAAAUAAAAUGAACAAAGACAUUUUAUAAAUCCAAAUAAAAGAUGAUACCUCUGACCAACAACAAAGAAAGGAGAUACGAGAUAUAUUAUAAGUACAUAUAAAGAAUAGAUCAAAGUAUGAAUGUUGGCUUACUUGACAAUUUGACUACAAAGUCUCUUGUGAGAAAAAUAGCUUCAUGCUCAAACAGUAGUUACCAAAUGCUUUUAAUCCAUACGACCCAUUUCGAGCAAUUUUGACCAUCUUCAUUAGAAUUUUAUUCAUAAACAUUAUCUAUCCACUAAUUUCUACGUGUGAUUCAGCAUAUACAAAUAACUCAGAGUCGAUAUCAUUAGCAACGAAUGCAUAACGACAAAGACCACAAUCAAAAAUACGCAAACAGGCUCAACUGAAAUAAAAUAAGGGGUGAUUCGACAGAGCUUAGACCAAAUAGAAACAUUAGGUCAUUAUCAUGUAAUUCAUCAUAACAUGUAAAAAUAACAACACAAAUAGUAAAGAGAAGGAGACGGGACGAACCCGAGCAAGAUUUUCUUUCUGUUACGAAAAUUUAAUUACAGCAAACCCGACGAUCGAAAUCAGACUAAAAAAUGCAACAACAGCAGGAUAUUAUUCCGCGGAUCACAGAAAUAACCUCGAACGACAUCAACGAAUUGAAUCCUCACUGGAAAACCAAAUUGUCGAUGAGAUCCGAAAUCUGACGAACUGGACUUAAUCUCUACUUGAACCAGAAGGUACGCUGAAACUCAAACAGUAAACCAGAAAUGGCGGUGAUGACAGAAGAAUAAAAAAUAGGCUGCGAGAGAGUGACAGGGAUGGAGCUGCCUUCUUCCGUUGCUAAGGAUUUCCUCAAUUUCUGUCGUUCUCCCUUCUGUCCAUUCCUACGUCCCUAUGUGUGUGUUAGUGGAGUGAGAGCAAG